ACGCACGCUGGCGGCGUGCUUCACACAUGCAAGUCGCACGGAAAGGCCCUGCUUUUGUGGGGUGCUCGAGUGGCGAACGGGUGAGUAACACGUGAGUAACCUGCCCUUGACUUUGGGAUAACUUCAGGAAACUGGGGCUAAUACCGGAUAGGAGCUCCUGCUGCAUGGUGGGGGUUGGAAAGUUUCGGCGGUUGGGGAUGGACUCGCGGCUUAUCAGCUUGUUGGUGGGGUAGUGGCUUACCAAGGCUUUGACGGGUAGCCGGCCUGAGAGGGUGACCGGCCACAUUGGGACUGAGAUACGGCCCAGACUCCUACGGGAGGCAGCAGUGGGGAAUAUUACACAAUGGGCGGAAGCCUGAUGCAGCAACGCCGCGUGCGGGAUGACGGCCUUCGGGUUGUAAACCGCUUUCGCCUGUGACGAAGCGUGAGUGACGGUAAUGGGUAAAGAAGCACCGGCUAACUACGUG
rnacentral:rRNA from 1 species